CGGGCGAACAGCGAAGAAUGGACAGAGCGGCUAACGACACUCCGCUGUUAGCGUGAAACAUCAGCAACAACAAGUACCGCCGUCAACCUUAUAUUAAACCCCAGCCACUCGCGUUCAUCUGGCGUGACAAAUACACAAGCUGCGUCCCGAUCGGCUGGAUUUACCACAGCGAAGGUCUUCCACCUUCUCCUUCCUGUGACAAAUGUUGAGAACAGAGAUCAGCCCGUCCAGCAGCUGCUAGAGGCGACAGAGCGAGGACGGGGAGGAGUGUCGGUUAGCUGAACCAGGUUUUGUCUCAUGAGAGUGACUGUGCCAUCCAGGCACCGCCAGUGACCAGGGCUGUGGCUGCGGAGGGCCCAGCCCAGGAGGCCUUUUUGUACAUCACUCCUGGCUCCCGCUGACCUGUGCUGCUCACACCAUGGAUCAACAGAGAGAUAAAUAUGGAGAGCGGCCCACAAGGGCAGCUAAAGUUUCCCAGGGAAGCCGCAGCGGACACUCGUCCCGACCAUCUGGCUCCUCCAGCUCCUCUGGGGUUCUCAUGGUGGGGCCAAAUUUUCGCGUGGGCAAGAAGAUCGGCUGUGGGAACUUUGGUGAAUUGAAGCUCGGUAAAAAUCUAUACACCAACGAGUAUGUAGCUAUUAAACUGGAACCCGUGAAGUCGAGGGCGCCACAGCUGCAUUUAGAGUACCGGUUCUACAAAACGCUGGGGACUACAGCUGAGGGCGUGCCCCAGGUGUUUUACUUCGGGCCCUGUGGGAAAUACAAUGCUAUGGUCCUGGAGCUGCUGGGCCCGAGUCUAGAGGACCUCUUUGACCUUUGUGACAGGACCUUUUCACUGAAGACUGUCUUAAUGAUAGCAAUUCAGCUGAUUUCUCGAAUGGAGUAUGUGCACUCUAAAAACCUCAUCUAUCGAGAUGUAAAACCUGAAAACUUUCUCAUCGGACGGCAAGGGAAUAAAAAGGAACACAUUAUCCACAUCAUUGACUUUGGCUUGGCCAAAGAAUACAUCGACCCCGAGACCAAAAAACACAUUCCAUACCGGGAGCAUAAGAGCUUGACUGGCACUGCUCGAUACAUGUCCAUCAAUACACAUUUAGGCAAAGAACAAAGCCGGCGAGAUGACCUGGAGGCCUUAGGCCACAUGUUCAUGUAUUUCCUUCGUGGGAGUUUACCGUGGCAAGGACUAAAGGCCGACACGUUGAAAGAACGAUACCAGAAGAUCGGAGACACGAAACGAAACACUCCCAUCGAGGUCCUCUGUGAGAACUUCCCAGAGGAGAUGGCCACAUACCUGCGAUAUGUGAGACGGUUGGACUUCUUUGAAAAGCCCGACUAUGAAUAUCUGAGGACUCUGUUCACUGAACUGUUUGAGCGGAAAGGAUACACCUUUGACUACACUUACGACUGGGUUGGCAGGCAGAUUCCCACACCAGUGGGGUCUGUCCAUAUAGACUCUGGAGCGUCUGCAGUCACGAGAGAGAGCCAUCCUCACAGAGACCGACCCUCGCAGCAUCCACCAAUUAGAAAUCAGGUUUGGGUGAAUGCAACCACUCAGGUUCUGCCAAUUAAGGUUUUUAAUAACCUUUUUUUCAGUGAGUUCACUGCUGAAUGUACAUUUGAUCACUGUUGUUAAUUGCUGUUAAGAUAAGUUGGCAAACAAGUGGCUUGUUUCAUAGAAGAAAUAGGUUUUAAACAUGUUAAAGACCUGUUCAGUGCAUUAGGAUUAAUUUGUGUUAUUGAAGUUUAAUGAGAGUGAGGCCAAAGUUUGAGAUGUGACAGCUUACCUCCAUUUGGCUUCAGGCUCAUUAGUUUCUGGUUCAGUUCUCUGGCUGAAGUCUUGCUUUGAUUUUGAUUCACUUUUUUAUUUAUUUAUUUUUCUUCUCCAUCUUUCAUGCUGCUUUGCAUGGUACCUGGCCUCGCACACCCAAUUACCCAUCUUUCCUAACACAAUUAUUCCAUCACUGCCCCUCCCAUCGCACCCCCAAUCCCUCUUCCACUCCCAUCACCGACGCCCCCGACUCCUGAGCAGACAGCGGUCUCAGAUCGACGAGGAGCAUGGGAGGUGCAGCCCACACGCCAAGCAAACUCCUCCUAUCUGACCUCCCACCUGGCAGCGGACAGGCACGGGGGCUCAGUGCAGGUGGUCAGCUCGACCAACGGGGAGCUGAACGCAGACG